GCCAGCAUGGUAUAGUGGUUUGACCAUUGGACUAUGACUCAAGAGACCAGGGUUCAAAUCCCCACUCAGCCA